GAUGAACGCUGGCGGCGUGCUUAAUACAUGCAAGUCGAGCGAAAAGACAAAGACUUUGCUCCUUUGUCGUUAGCGGAGGACGGGUGAGUCACAUGUGGGUUAUCCACUUCUCAGCCUGGAAUAACUCCGGGACUCCGGCGCUUAUGCCGGAUAACCAUUAGUUCGGUAUGGUUCUAAAGUGUUAGUCGGUUUUGCUUUAGCUCACGGCUGGUCCCGUGCCGUAUUAGCUAGUUGGUAAGGUAACGGCUUACCAGGGCCACGACACGUAGCCGAUCUGGUAGAGGGAUCGGCCACACUGGAGCGGAGACGCGGUCCAGGCUCCUACGGGAGGCAGCAGUAGGGAAUCUUCCGCAGUGGUCGAAAGCCUUGCAGAACAACGCCGCGUGUGUUAUAGAGAUCUUCGGAUCGUAAAACUCUGUUAUUAGUUGAAAACAAAUGUCUAAGUAACUGUGCACGUCUUGACGGUACCUAGUCAGAAAGCCACGGCUAACUACGUG
rnacentral:rRNA from 1 species